UCCCUGGAGGACUAGUGGUUAGGCCACAGCGCUCUCACCACUGCGGCCUGGGUUCGAUUCCUGGCCAGGGAA
rnacentral:tRNA from 1 species